CCUACGGGAGGCAGCAGUGAGGAAUCUUGGUCAAUGGACGAGAGUCUGAACCAGCCAAGUAGCGUGAAGGAUGAAUGCACUAUGGGUUGUAAACUUCUUUUAUAAAGGCAUAAAUUGCGGCACGUGUGACGUUUUGCAUGUAAUUUAUGAUUAAGGAUCGGCUAACUCCGUGCCAGCAGCCGCGGUAAUACGGCGGAUCCGAGCAUUAUCCGGAUUUAUUGGGUUUAAUGGGAGCGUAGAUUGGUUGUUAAGUCAGUUGUUAAAGUUUGCGGCUCAACCGUAAAAUUGCAAUUGAUACUGGCAGUCUUGAGUACAGUUGAGGUAAGCGGAAUUCGUGGUGUAGCGGUGAAAUGCUUAGAUAUCACGAAGAACCCCGAUUGCGAAGGCAGCUUACUAAACUGUGACUGACAUUGAUGCUCGAAAGUGUGGGUAUCAAACAGGAUUAGAUACCCUGGUAGUC
rnacentral:rRNA from 1 species